rnacentral:rRNA from 1 species
UAAUACCUACGGGGCGCAGCAGUAGGGAAUUUUCGGCAAUGGGGGAAACCCUGAACGAGCAAUGCCGCGUGAGUGAAGAAGGCCUUCGGGUCGUAAAGCUCUGUUGUAAGAGAAAAACGGUAAUGAUAGGGAAUGAUCAUUAAGUGAUGGUAUCUUACGAGGAAGCCACGGCUAACUACGUGCCAGCAGCCGCGGUAAUACGUAGGUGGCAAGCGUUAUCCGGAAUGAUUGGGCGUAAAGGGUGCGCAGGAGGAACCAUAAGUCUGAAGUAAAAGCCAUCGGCUCAACCGAUGU